CAAGGAACUCGGCAAGUUAGCCCCGUAACUUCGGGAGAAGGGGUGCCCUAGUAGGGUUGAAAGCCCGAACGGGCCGCAGUGAAUGGGGCCUGGCGACUGUUUACCAAAAACACAAGGCUAUGCAUAACCCGUAAGGGGAUGUAUAUGGCCUGACGCCUGCCCGGUGCCGGAAGGUUAAGGGGACCCCUGCAAGGGGGGAACCGAAGCCCCGGUAAACGGCGGCCGUAACUAUAACGGUCCUAAGGUAGCAGAUUGCUGCCUGAACUCGGCUAUAUGCGGGAAAGCCCUUAGAGCCCAACCUACGCUUUCAGCUCUUUUGGGCUGACGUAAAAAUGGUUGGGAUUGGGCAACCCGCAGGAAACCUUCCAGUGUUAAUGCUGGAAGGGUUCCUCAGAGGCCGUACGCCGAGCAGCCUGGCCUUCGGGAAGCUGCAAAAGGAGGUUUGGAUAUGGACUUAUCUCCUGACUGGGUUGUGGGAUUCACAGAUGGUGAAGGGUAUUUCCAUGUUUCGGUUGUAAAAAAUUCUAAAACUACCCUUGGAUAUCAGGUAAUACCAGAGUUUGUGAUUGUACAACAUAAAAGGAAUAUACAAAUUUUGUAUGCACUGAAAAGGUUUUUCAAAUGCGGUGUUAUUAGAAAAAAUCAUGAGGACAGAUGGGCUUUAAGGAUUAGGAAAAUUUCUUGUCUAAAAGAGAUAUGUGAUUUUUUCACCAAACAUCCACUGAAAACUAAAAAGAAUGUGGAUUUCAUAAGGUUCAGGAGAAUAAUUCAUAAGAUGGAGGAGGGUAGGCAUUUGACGCCAGAAGGAUUGAUUGAAAUCAUAGAUAUUGCCCUUCAAAUGAAUACUGAAAAAAGAACACCCUUAAUAGAGGUAAAAAAGGAAAUAAUUGAUCGCUUCCCGGAAAUGGGCCGUGGGCCAGGCUGAAGAUAUGGCCCACCCCGCGGUGAAAACCGUGGAUGAAGGUGAGCGAAAUUCCUUGUCGGGUAAGUUCCGACCUGCAUGAAUGGCGUAACGACUGGGCCACUGUCUCGGGGAGACACCCGGCGAAGUUGUGUGCCGAGCGAAGACACUCGGUACCCGCCGCAAGACCGAAAGACCCCGUGAAGCCUUACUGCAGCCUGGUGUUGAACCUUGGUUGCGCAUGCGCAGGAUAGGUGGGAGCCUGGGAACCCCGGUCUCCGGAUCGGGGGGAGGCGCCGGUGAGAUACCACCCUUGCGCAACCGGGGUUCUAACCUGAUUCCCUGAAACGGGGACAGGGACAGCGCUUGGUGGGCAGUCUUGCUGGGGUGGCAGCCUCCUAAAUAGUAACGGAGGCGCCCAAAGGUCCCCUCAGAGCGGACGCUGCCGCUUGUUGAGUGUAAGGGCAUAAGGGGGCCUGACUGUGAGGCUGACAGGCCGAGCAGACGCGAAAGCGGGGCCUAGUGACCCGGCGGUCCCGUGUGGAAGGGCCGUCGAUCAGCGGAUAAAGGUUACUCCGGGGAUAACAGGCUAGUCCCGCCCGAGAGCCCACAUCGACGGCGGGGUUCGGCACCUCGAUGUCGGCUCAUCCCAUCCUGGGGGUGAAGGAGCUCCCAAGGGUUGGUCUGUUCGCCCAUCAAAGGGGUACGUGAGCUGGGUUCAGACCGUCGUAAGACAGGUCGGUCCCUAUCUGCGGUGGGCGUAGGAGCCUUGAGGGGGGCUGUCCCUAGUACGAGAGGACCGGGAUGGGGGCACCUCUGGUGUACCGGCUGUCCCGCCAGGGGCAGAAGCCGGGUAGCCAUGUGCCUAAGCGAUAACCGCUGAAAGCAUCUAAGCGGGAAGCGCGCCCCAAGAUAAGGGCUCCCACCCGUUAUGGGGUAAGGGUCCCGCAAGACUAGCGGGUUGAUAGGCCACAGGUGUAAGCCCCGUAAGGGGUUGAGCCGAGUGGUACUAAUAACCCGAGGGCUUGGUUGCCUCUC
rnacentral:rRNA from 1 species